rnacentral:rRNA from 1 species
AACGAACGCUGGCGGCAGGCUUAACACAUGCAAGUCGAGCGCCCCGCAAGGGGAGCGGCAGACGGGUGAGUAACGCGUGGGAAUCUACCGUGCCCUAAGGAAUAGCUCCGGGAAACUGGAAUUAAUACCUUAUACGCCCUUCGGGGGAAAGAUUUAUCGGGGUAUGAUGAGCCCGCGUUGGAUUAGCUAGUUGGUGGGGUAAAGGCCUACCAAGGCGACGAUCCAUAGCUGGUCUGAGAGGAUGAUCAGCCACAUUGGGACUGAGACACGGCCCAAACUCCUACGGGAGGCAGCAGUGGGGAAUAUUGGACAAUGGGCGCAAGCCUGAUCCAGCAAUGCCGCGUGAGUGAGGAAGGCCUUAGGGUUGUAAAGCUCUUUCACCCGCGACGAUGAUGACGGUAGCGGGAGAAGAAGCCCCGGCUAACUUCGUGCCAGCAGCCGCGGUAAUACGAAGGGGGCGAGCGUUGUUCGGAUUUACUGGGCGUAAAGGGCGCGCAGGCGGCGGACCAAGUCAGGCGUGAAAGCCCCGGGCUUAACCUGGGAGGUGCGUCUGGGACUGGUACGCUAGAGAUCGGGAGAGGAGAGUGGAAUUCCCAGUGUAGAGGUGAAAUUCGUAGAUAUUGGGAAGAACACCGGUGGCGAAGGCGGCUCUCUGGGACGGUACUGACGCUGAGACGCGAAAGCGUGGGGAGCGAACAGGAUUAGAUACCCUGGUAGUCCACGCCGUAAACGAUGGGUGCUAGGUGUGGGGGGGCGUCGACUCCCCCCGUGCCGAAGCUAACGCAUUAAGCACCCCGCCUGGGGGAGUACGGCCGCAAGGCUAAAACUCAAAGAAAUUGACGGGGGCCCGCACAAGCAGCGGAGCAUGUGGUUUAAUUCGACGCAACGCGAAGAACCUUACCAAGGCUUGACAUGCAUUUGAAAACCGUGGAAACACGUUCCCUCUUCGGAGCAAAUGCACAGGUGGUGCAUGGCUGUCGUCAGCUCGUGUCGUGAGAUGUUGGGUUAAGUCCCGCAACGAGCGCAACCCCUGUCCUAUGUUGCCAGCGAGUAAUGUCGGGGACUCAUAGGAGACUGCCGGUGACAAAUCGGAGGAAGGUGGGGAUGACGUCAAGUCAUCAUGCCCCUUAUGUCUUGGGCUACACACGUGCUACAUUGGCCGGUGCAAAGGGCUGCAAGACCGUGAGGUGGAGCGAAUCCCAAAAAGCCGGUCCCAGUUCGGAUUGGAGGCUGAAACUCGCCUCCAUGAAGUAGGAGUUGCUAGUAAUCGCGGAUCAGCAAUGCCGCGGUGAAUACGUUCCCGGGCCUUGUACACACCGCCCGUCACACCACGAAAGCCGGAAACACCCGAAGUCCGUGGGCCAACCGCAAGGAGGCAGCGGCCGAAGGUGGAGUCGGUGAUUGGGGUGAAGUCGUAACAAGGUAGCCGUAGCGGAAGC